rnacentral:rRNA from 1 species
UACGGGGGGGGCAAGCGGUUGUUCGGAAUUACUGGGCGUAAAGGGCUCGUAGGCGGCCAACUAAGUCAGACGUGAAAUCCCUCGGCUUAACCGGGGAACUGCGUCUGAUACUGGAUGGCUUGAGAUUGGGAGAGGGGAUGCGGAAUUCCAGGUGUAGCGGUGAAAUGCGUAGAUAUCUGGAGGAACACCGGUGGCGAAGGCGGCAUCCUGGACCAACACUGACGCUGAGUGAGCGAAAGCCAGGGGAGCAAACGGG